rnacentral:lncRNA from 1 species
GGAAAAUGUUUUUGCUGCUUAGUUACUGGCAAAAUUUGGCUCUUACAGUUCCUUCUUACUGUAGGAGCUGAACUGAAAAGGGUCAAUCCUUUAAAAUAUUACUUAAAUUUAGGGCCAAUCCCUAAUCACCAGAAUCAUCCCCGUAGGUGUUAAAGACCAGAUUGGAUGAGGAUCCCUUCCAACCCAAGCCAUUCUGUGUUUCUAUGAAAUCAGAGCCAGUGGAGAUACUGAGGAUGGAGGGAUUAAUGUUUGGUAUUACCAUAGUAGAAAACUGGUCUACUGAUCUCACUAGUGCUACUAUCCUGUCACUGACAACGGGAGCACAUGUGCAGGAGUAAGAAAGUCUUCAUUAAAUCCAUAGUCCUUUGGAGUAAGAAUGGUGAAAAUCAUCCCUCACUUUCGGUCUGCUCUUACUACAAGUUCUUGCUAACAAAAAAAUGAAAUAAAAGAGUCAAUGGGCUUCA